rnacentral:tRNA from 1 species
GGGGUUCUAGCUCAUCGGUAGAGCGCUCGCUUAGCAUGCGAGAGGUACAGGAUUCAACUCCCUGGUACUCCA